AAUGAACUUAGGCUUACGGUGGAGACCUAGGCACCCAGAGACGAAGAAGGGCGCAGAUACCGGCGAAACGCUCCGGGGAGUUGGCAACAAACUUUGAUCCGGAGAUCCCCGAAUAGGGCAACCUGUACAACUUCCAACAGAAUUCAUAAGUUGGAAAGAGGCAACCCAGUGAAUUGAAACAUCUUAGUAGCUGGAGGAAAAGAAAGCAAACGCGAUUCCCGUAGUAGCGGCGAGCGAACCGGGAACAGCCUAAACCCAUUUCCAUUAGGGAAUGGGGGUAGUGGGAAGACAUUAUAAAAAAUAGAAAAUAAGAGAAAUUUCUAAUCAGCGAAGCUGUUAAAAAUUUCUUCUCUUUAAAAAUUUUCUAAAAACGAAACAGCUGAAUCCUGUACCAUAGAUGGUGAAAGUCCAGUAGUUGAAAUGAAAAAAAACAAAAUGUCUUAUCCCGAGUAGCAUGGGACACGUGGAAUCCCGUGUGAAUCAGCGAGGACCACCUCGUAAGGCUAAAUACUCCUGGGUGACCGAUAGUGAAAUAGUACUGCGAAGGAAAGGUGAAAAGAACCCUCGUAUAGGGAGUGAAAUAGAACAUGAAACCGUAAGCUGACAAGCAGUGGGAGGUUAAGAGCUGACCGCGUGCCUGUUGAAGAAUGAGCCGGCGACUUAGAGGGAGUGGCAAAAAGGUUAAGGAGAAACAUCCGGAGCCAACGCGAAAGCGAGUCCGAAAAUUCGGCGAAGAAUUUGUCAUUUCCUCUGGACCCGAACCCGGGUGAUCUAAUCAUGACCAACAUGAAGCUUGGGUAACACUAAGUGGAGGUGUGCACCGACCGAUGUUGAAAAAUCGGCGGAUGAGUUGUGAUUAUGCGCAGAAAUUGCAAUCGAACUCGGAGCUAGCUGGAUCUCCCCGAAAUGCGUUGAGGCGCAGCGGCAACGACGAGCUAUCAUAAGGUAAAGCUACUGUUUCGAUGCGGGCUGCGAGAGCGGUACCAAAUCGUGGCAAACUCAGAAUGUAUGAUAUUGCCUACCGUUAGCCAGUGAGACCCAAGGUGAUAAGAUCUUCGGUCAAGAGGGAAACAGCCCAGAUCACCAGCUAAGGCCCCUAAAUGGUUUCUAAGUGGAAAAGGAUGUGAGAGUGCAGAAACAACCAGGAGGUUUGCUUAGAAGCAGCAAUUUCCUUGAAAGAGUGCGUAAUAGCUCACUGGUAAAGCGUUCUUGCGCCGAUAAUGGCCGGGACUAAGAAACCUGCCGAAGCUGUGAGAUUCUUAUAUAAGAAUCGGUAGGGGAGCGUUCCGUUAUUGGGUGAAGUUAUGGUGUAAACCAGAAUGGACAAAACGGAAGUGAGAAUGUCGGCUUGAGUAACGAAAACAUUGGUGAGAAUCCAAUGCCCCGAAAACCGUUGGGUUCCUCCACUAGGUUCGUCCAUGGGGGGUUAGUCAGGUCCUAAGGCUAGGCCGAAAGGCGUCGUCGAUGGCAAACAGGUUAAUAUUCCUGUACUGAUUCUAUUGGGAACAAGGGACGAAGAAGGCUAAACUGAGACUACUAAUGGAUUAUAGUGGAAGCGUCAAGGUGUUGAGAGUUAGAAGAAAAACUAAACUUGAGCUGAGGCGUUAUCCCGAUAACAAUCCUUCGGGGUUGUUGUCGUCAGUGAUGUCAUGCUUCCAAGAAAAGCUUGAGCUCCAUAACAAUAGAAUUACCUGUACCUAAAACCGACACAGGUAGGUGAGUAGAGAAUACUAAGGGGCGCGAGAGAACUCUCUCUAAGGAACUCGGCAAACUGGCCCCGUAACUUCGGAAGAAGGGGCGCCUUUAAUUUCAUUAAAGGUCGCAGUAAACAGGCCCAGGCAACUGUUUAUCAAAAACAUAGGUCUCCGCAAAGUCGAAAGACUAUAUAUGGGGGCUGACGCCUGCCCAGUGCCGGAAGGUUAAGGAAGUUGGUUAGAGAGCUUGUCUCUCGAAGCUGACGACCGAAGCCCCGGUGAACGGCGGCCGUAACUAUAACGGUCCUAAGGU
rnacentral:rRNA from 1 species